GACGAACGCUGGCGGCAUGCCUAAUACAUGCAAGUCGAGCGGACUUGAUGAGAAGCUUGCUUCUCAGAUAGUUAGCGGCGGACGGGUGAGUAACACGUAGGCAACCUGCCCUCAAGCUUGGGACAACUACCGGAAACGGUAGCUAAUACCGAAUACUUGUUUUCUUCGCCUGAAGGAAACUGGAAAGACGGAGUAAUCUGUCACUUGGGGAUGGGCCUGCGGCGCAUUAGCUAGUUGGUGAGGUAACGGCUCACCAAGGCGACGAUGCGUAGCCGGCGGGAGAGGGUGAUCGGCCACACUGGGACUGAGACACGGCCCAGACUCCUACGGGAGGCAGCAGUAGGGAAUCUUCCGCAAUGGGCGAAAGCCUGACGGAGCAAUGCCGCGUGAGUGAUGAAGGUUUUCGGAUCGUAAAGCUCUGUUGCCAGGGAAGAACGCUUGGGAGAGUAACUGCUCCCAAGGUGACGGUACCUGAGAAGAAAGCCCCGGCUAACUACGUGCCAGCCGCCGCCGUAA
rnacentral:rRNA from 1 species